rnacentral:rRNA from 1 species
GACAGAGGGUGCAACCGUUGUUCGGAAUUACUGGGCGUAAAGCGCGUGUAGGCGGCUAAGUAAGUCGGGCGUGAAAUCCCACGGCUCAACCGUGGAAGUGCACUCGAAACUGCAUAGCUAGAGUCCUGGAGAGGAAGGUGGAAUGCUUGGUGUAGAGGUGAAAUUCGUAGAUAUCAAGCGGGACACCGGUGGCGAAGGCGGCCUUCUGGACAGUGACUGACGCUGAGACGCGAAAGCGUGGGGAGCAAACAGG